rnacentral:lncRNA from 1 species
CCGACUUGAGUCCGAAGAUACCUGUUCACACAUUAAACUCCAGAAAUACUGUUAAAUCCUGUUUUUGAGGACCUUCGUAAGCCGAAGGCCCCCAACAACUCCUACUUUGCUAGCCACUAAAUCUGAUCUUGAUGAGUUACAUGCCUCUGUUGGACUUUGCUAUGCCUUAGUAUGCAAAAAUGUUUUCUAUUCCAUUGAUGAUACGUCUAUUGCUUUGCCAGCGGCUAUUGCUAACCUUUUGCAAGAGUAUAUGGAUGUGUUUCCCUCUGAGAUACCCCCUGGAUUACCACCUGAGUUGCCUCCAGAUUUUCGGAUUAGUUCCACGUUUAACAUUUCAGAUUUGAAGCCAUAUAUGGGUGAAGAAGAUGAGAUCGAGUCGAGGACGACUCCAAUUCAAGAGGAGGAGGAGGAUGAGGACAUCACUUCUAUACAUACAAUGAAUGGACCGAUAACAUGAUCUCGUGCACGCCAACUAAAUCUCCAGGUACGUUCUACCCUAGUCAAUUGUGUUUCAGAGCUUACGCUUGGGGCCAUGGAUGUUUUGAUGAUUAGGUACUUUGGAGAGGACCAGCAAGGACUUGGGAAAGGCCAAGGUGUUGAGGAGGAGGAGCAAGGGCGGCCACAACAGGAAGGAGAUCAAGUCCGACUCGGCUACGACUCCAUCUCGGGUUCCAGGACCAGUCUGCACUAAAAUGGACGCCCAGGAUGCAUCCGGACUCCGAUUGCGACGCACCUGAUAUGGUUGGAAAGAUAAGGAGAUUAUCGAACCAACCCAACUAGUUCCACCUUAAAACUCAUCCGGAGUCAACGGGAAUCAUCGAAAUAAUUUAGCGUUCAGAUUCUGUUUUGGUGCUGCGACACCGUCUGUUGGGCCGUUGGGCCGUGUAUCGCGUCGAAGCCCAUUAGGGGGCGAGUCCAGGGGUCACGCAUGCCCUAAUACUCUAUUUAUUCAGCAGCCGCCGCCACAUUAGGUUUUGGGUUUUGCUUAGAUCAAUUCUGUCAUCGAACAGUGUCGCCGUCAUCGGUUUGUGAGACCCCAUCCCGUAAUCAAUACAAUUUUGGUUGCUUUUCUUUCCUGUUCUUGCUUGUGUUCUUGAUUGCGCUUGCAGGGAUAAGCCUUCGUGGCGAGGUCAUUCAUGUGUCACGGGUGAUAACCAACGGAGCCGUGGUGUAGUGAUUGCGAGGAACCGUUCGCUCGGAGCCUUGGAUCAUCAACGUCGAGAUCUCGACUCAAUCAAGUUAUCGUAUCUCACGGAAGAUGGGUCGCGUCUUCUAUCAAAAGGUAAGAGUAAUCAGAGUAAAGCAGCAGUGGAUGAGAAAAGAUUAAGGAAAGUUUAGAAAGGAUAAGAGUAGCAAAGGUAAGUAAGUAUUGGUUGUCCAGUUCUAUCUAGGUUUCGUCCUAUAGUCAACAUCCCUUUCAUACCACUUGUGUCACACCCGGGUUUUAGGGGUCCAAAGCCCGGGCGCGAAAUAAUCACCAGGUGUGCUGGGACCAAGUCUCACACAUAUGAUGAAUAGUGGUACAGAAACAAAUGUCACAUCUUUACUAUAUAAUAGGAGUUCUGUACAAAAUAAAUAAAUAAUUACAUCAGAAGGAGACAACGAUCCAGCAACCCAAAGUUGACUGGGAGACAAUGGACUAGACCUCUCACGAACUCGUCAUAGCAUCCUCCAUGCGCAUCAUCCUGCGGUACCUGUUCUUGACCUGUGGGGGUGUGAGACAGCAAGAGUGAGCUCACACACGUUCAUCGCUCAACAAGUUGUGGGGAAUAAUGUGCAUGAACUCGCCAAAGGUGGAAGCUCAUGUGAAGUGUAAGGCUUACCAAAGAGGAUGGUUAAAGCUGAGCAUUGCUUUUAAAGUUGGUCACAAUUUUGUUAGUAGUUGCUAAGUGUAAGUAUAUACCAACCCAAAUAUGUAAUAGUUCAAAAUUUGAUAACAACACCUGCGAUGCAAUGCAUAUGACAAAUUGAAUUUAGUUCCAUAAAUUACUCAUGUGAGGGUCCGAGCUGCUCAUGACCGUGAGCACGGCUGAUAUACCAGUUUUACACUCUACAGAGGUUGCGCAUCUUUACCCACAAGUCAUGUUACCCCUCGUCUGACCGCCAUUGCAGCAAAAUCAACCCAAGGGCCUCCCUACACUGACCACUCUCCUACUGCCCUUGCCCCUUUCGAGUCAGGUAGUCCUCCACUAGCUUUCCUAAUUAGUUAGCCAAGGGCGUUCCAUACCACCCUUGUGGUAGCACUGUUUUCCCAGGUGGUUCUCCAUGUUCCAAUUAACAUAAUGAUCUUAUCAUGAACAGUAAAUAACAAACUGAUAAUAAAAGUAGGAUCAUGAAUAAUGUGUAUCUCCAUACCCAAAACCACAAUAAGCAAUAGUAGGUACUACCCAAAAAUUCAGUGGUAAACCAGGUAUAGAGAUAGCCAAACUAGGGUAAGCUAUUGGGUCCCAUCAAAAUUAACCUAUGCAGAUCAUUAUGAUUAAUAAGAACAUGAUUGGGUAAAAAGAAGUGAUCAAGGGCACAACUUGCAUGGGACUUGAGAUUCCAGGUACCAACUUGCUUUUUAGAUGACUCGUGACCUCACUGCUAAACGUAGCAAUACAAACAAACAUGGUAUAGGCAAAAUUAACAUCACACCAAACAUAAGAACAAACUGCAUAAUAAUAAUCUAGGCGUUGCUACGAGAUCGCGGGUUCGAGAACCACUAAAAUCGGAGUUACGGUUAGAGAGAUAUGAUUUUCUAAAAAUUUAGGUGUCCAAUAUAUAAUAAACUAAGUGCAUAAUUUUAAUCUAUGUUUAAUGACAAAAUAAGGUUACCAGAUGAUAAACAACAUUAUUAUGAAUUUAAUGCAACUGGAAUGGAUAAAAAAGGAGCUAAAAUGAAUACUUAUGAAUUAAACAAGUUUCUGAAAUUUUUUAUGCUAAAAACUAAUUUUAAUAUUAAUUAACCAUUUUCUGGUAAUCUAUGGACUGCAGAUAGAAAAAUCAGAGACCCAGGGUUGUUUUUGUUAAUUUCAAGGCCUCAGCGUAAUAUUCUUUUAACACCAGAGGACCGCGGCCGCGGGUUUAUUUUUAAUAAAGUCAAGGGCUUUUUUGCGAAAUGGCCGGGCCGAAGGGGGUAUCGGCCAAUCAGAACCGUAGGAUCGCGGGUCAAAGGUUAAUAAAAGAAACUGAAUCGGUAUGCAACGGUGACCCACGGAUCAAUGGCCAAGGAUACGCCAUGCCAUUCAUCUAAUCUGAUCCGCACAAUGAGAUCCAAUGAUCGAGAUACAAUCUGGUCAAAGGGGUGGGUUGCUUCUAAUCCUGGCCGAUGAUCUACUAUUCAACGACCUAGAUUUUAUUAUGGCUAUACCUUAUCACACCUCCACGGCUUAGAUCAAAUCACCCAGAUGAUACGCCUAGCGCCAAAUCACGGUCGUUGCACGCUGGAUCAACGGCGCAAGCUUGCCCCCACCUCACGUCAUCCAAGCACGGCGGCGCCACCAGCCUAGACGGCGGAGAGAUGGCCGGAGUUCGGCCACCCCGUCCAGGAGGGCCUUAUACUCUAAUCUAAAGUGUGAAUCAUAUAGUGCAAGGCAUGGCGAACGCAGGGGAAGAGUUCUCACCGGCAGGGACGAAGCAUAGAGGCCCGACCGCGGAGAGUGGGUGGUCCGCGGCGGAUUCAGUCACCGACGAGAAAUUCACCGAGCCCUGGCCGCCCACGGCCCCGGAAUUCCACACGGCGACGUCCGCAAACCUUGACAAAGCUUUCCCGAGCGCACGUUUUGCCCUAAAUGGACGGUAAUCACCGAGGGCCGAUUACGGCGGUGGUGCUCGGCUUUCCCUCCCCCUUCUCAUUGUUUCUCUUGCGGUGGCUUAGAAAUCUGCAGACGAGCAGGAAAGAGGGUCACAGCGUGGUCACUUUUAUGGUCCCGGGAGCACGCGACCAGCAGGUAUUUGGUUGCUCGCCUCCGGGUUCGUCAGCGAGGGCGCAACGGUCGCGACCGAUUCGGCCGAGAGGUUCACAAGGACCGAACCCGCCGAACCGAAGAGCGAGUAAAAUGGGAGGCAAAGCCCGCGUGAA